UGUCUUCUCGUUCCAGAGAAGGUGACUGUUGAUGCUUUUGCUCUUUGGAAUAUUAUUCGGGAUGUUUUAGAUCCCCAAUCUGAGGUAUCUAAGUUAAGUCAGACUUUAUUUUCUUCACAUAAAAGGGAUCCUGAUGAAAGGACACCCCUUUCUCCUAAACCUAAUAGCGGAUCAUUGGCCCCACCAUUGGUAACAACAAUAAGAAAUGAUGAUGAAGAUGAUUGGCUGGAUCCUGAGGAUCAACAGAAAUUAGAGGAUGAGGAGGAAAGAUAUGAGAAAGAAAGAGAGGAAAGGGGAGAUGGACCAUUUAAUGCAUCCAAUUUUGGAGCUACAGGGUAUACACCCUCUUUAACAGAAGGUCAAAGACACCUGAUAAGAAAAACUGGAAAUAUCAGUGAUUUUAUCAGACAGUGCGCUGACAUUGGACCUGCAUAUGUGCAGGGCGUUACUAUGGCAGCCACACUCAAGGGUGAAACUUAUUCUCAAUUUUUACAAGGAGUCGGACAGGGUCCAAAAGGGCAAAAGGAACAGAUACUUGAAAAUAAAGGUGCUUGUUUCUCUUGUUUAGUAAAUUGUGCCCUCAGGGUAAUCAACAACCUUAUGCUCCUGUGCUUCCUGGCCGUCCUGCUCCUGCAGCACCUGUUGCUCCAGUUAUGCCAGGACCAAAAACUAUUUGCCCUAGAUAUCAAAAAGGCUUUCAUUGGGCGCCAGGAAAGUGGAGUGGGAGAAAUCCACCUACGGCUGAAAAGGUUUCAUAUAGACAACUCUCCAAGGAGAAAGAGAGGAAAAACAUCCUGGUCCCCUAGGAGGUCUUCCUCUCCUCCAAGGGAUCCUCAACUAUCUCUGAGAUGAUGAGGUCGAGCCCCGAGAACCAACCCUCACACAGGACCACCACCGAUAAUCAUCCCACUGUCGCCAGCUGUCAGUCCAUCAAGAUCUAGACCCCUCGUAGAGCCUGAUCGACGCAACAAUCCAGGGGUCCGACUUGGGGAGAUAUCAAGAAGCUGACUGCUGAUGCCCAAAGCCUCGUUCUGUCUCAGGACCAGAAUCCAAGCUUAAGUGUUUUUUAUUUGUUGCCUUUUUAUCUAUUCUGUCUAUUAAUUCCGCUCAGGUAAGGGCUGAAAAUAAUAAGUCUUAUUGGGCAUUUUUCCCUAACCCUCCAAGCUUUCAGC
rnacentral:lncRNA from 1 species